UAGCUCUGGUUUUUCUUAAAUCAUGGAUAAAUCUUUUGCUUUUUACUAAAGAGUUCCAUGAAGAGGAACAUCAAUGAGUUUGAUGUAUUUUUAUGAGCUUUGCUCUGGCAAAGCU